CGAGGUCACACACCACACCAACGCAGAGGGUGGGGCCCUGGAACUCAGGAGGGGGCGUGAUCUGGGGUGCUCUCUUAGCCACAGGGCCCCAUGGUACUGCUGAAGGGAGCUGUGGCUUGGGAUUGGCUGUGGAGGGACUGCAUGUUUUACCUGAUCAAUAAAGACUGCACCCAGCCAGAUAAGGACAUAACCAAGCACACUCCUCCACUAUCAGUCUUCACCAGAAGACUCUGUGACCAUAAAUGGAGCAAGACUUCAGCAGCUUGAAAUGGCCAUCUCAACUGACACCAUCUUGCUGUCACUCGUGAUAAGCACCCAGCAUCUCCCACCGAAGGCUCUGCCCACAUUAGUGACUCUGCUAUUAACAACAGCCAAGAUGCGGAAAAAACCAGUGUCCAUCAACAGAUGAAUGAAGAAAAUGUGGCACAUAUACACAACGGAGUACUAGUCAGCCAUAAAAAAGAAUGAGAUGCUGUCAUAUGCAA